GACGAACGCUGGCGGCGUGCUUAACACAUGCAAGUCGAACGCUGAAGCUCAGCUUGCUGGGUGGAUGAGUGGCGAACGGGUGAGUAACACGUGAGUAACCUGCCCUUCACUUCGGGAUAACUCCGGGAAACCGGGGCUAAUACUGGAUAUGACUCGCACCUGCAUGGGUGUGGGUGGAAAGUUUUUUCGGUGGGGGAUGGGCUCGCGGCCUAUCAGCUUGUUGGUGAGGUGAUGGCUUACCAAGGCGACGACGGGUAGCCGGCCUGAGAGGGUGACCGGCCACACUGGGACUGAGACACGGCCCAGACUCCUACGGGAGGCAGCAGUGGGGAAUAUUGCACAAUGGACGGAAGUCUGAUGCAGCGACGCCGCGUGAGGGAUGAAGGCCUUCGGGUUGUAAACCUCUUUCGCCAGGGAAGAAGGGUUUCUGACGGUACCUGGAGAAGAAGCACCGGCUAACUACGUGCCAGCAGCCGCGGUAAAAC
rnacentral:rRNA from 1 species